rnacentral:rRNA from 1 species
CCUACGGGAGGCAGCAGUGGGGAAUUUUGGACAAUGGGCGCAAGCCUGAUCCAGCAAUGCCGCGUGAGUGAAGAAGGCCUUCGGGUUGUAAAGCUCUUUUGUCAGGGAAGAAACGGUGGGAGCUAAUAUCUCCCGCUAAUGACGGUACCUGAAGAAUAAGCACCGGCUAACUACGUGCCAGCAGCCGCGGUAAUACGUAGGGUGCAAGCGUUAAUCGGAAUUACUGGGCGUAAAGCGUGCGCAGGCGGUUUUGUAAGUCUGUCGUGAAAGCCCCGGGCUCAACCUGGGAAUUGCGAUGGAGACUGCAAGGCUUGAAUCUGGCAGAGGGGGGUAGAAUUCCACGUGUAGCAGUGAAAUGCGUAGAGAUGUGGAGGAACACCGAUGGCGAAGGCAGCCCCCUGGGUCAAGAUUGACGCUCAUGCACGAAAGCGUGGGGAGCAAACAGGAUUAGAUACCCUGGUAGUCCACGCCCUAAACGAUGUCUACUAGUUGUCGGGUUUUAAUUAACUUGGUAACGCAGCUAACGCGUGAAGUAGACCGCCUGGGGAGUACGGUCGCAAGNUUAAAACUCAAAUGAGUAGAGNGNGAGAGAGCGAGACGACGACGAGGGAGGAGG